UACAGAGGGGGCGAGCGUUGUUCGGAAUUACUGGGCGUAAAGGGCGCGUAGGCGGCCAACUAAGUCAGACGUGAAAUCCCUCGGCUCAACCGGGGAACUGCGUCUGAUACUGGGUGGCUUGAAUCCGGGAGAGGGAUGUGGAAUUCCAGGUGUAGCGGUGAAAUGCGUAGAUAUCUGGAGGAACACCGGUGGCGAAGGCGGCAUCCUGGACCGGUAUUGACGCUGAGGCGGCGAAAAGCUAGGGGAGCAAACGGG
rnacentral:rRNA from 1 species